rnacentral:rRNA from 1 species
UACGAAGGGGGCUAGCGUUGCUCGGAUUGACUGGGCGUAAAGGGCGCGUAGGCGGCUUGUACAGUCAGACGUGAAAUUCCUGGGCUCAACCUGGGGGCUGCGUUUGAUACGUAUGGGCUUGAGUUCGGAAGAGGGUCGUGGAAUUCCCAGUGUAGAGAUGAAAUUCGUAGAUAUUGGGAAGAACACCAGUGGCGAAGGCGGCUCACUGGCCCGGUACUGACGCUGAGGUGCGAAAGCGUGGGGAGCAAACAGG